UACUCUGUCGUAUCUUCUUGAAGAAAAGAGCCGGUAACAAGAACGACGACGACGACGGAGAUAGCCGUAAUCUUAGACAUAAU
rnacentral:sRNA from 1 species